UUAUUUUAGCAAACAACAAUAUUAUUNCACUAUAACGACAUCGCUGUCCACCGCGGCGGCCCACGUGCCGACGACUUCGACCACCUCUUUUGCGUGUCCGUCCGUGCCGAGUCAGUGUUCGAACUGCACUCGACGGUGCAAGUUGUACACGCGAUAAUAAUAUACGAUUUACCUACUGCAGUAGUCGUGAUUCACGCACACGUGUUGCCGGCGGCGGGUAACGAUAACAGUACGAUCACUGUCGUCAUCGUNGUCGCGUUCCGCGGACUUCGAACAUCUCGAUAUAGGCACUCAAGCCUACCGCCGCCGCACUGCGAGGAACCACCGACCAGCUAUAUUAUAAUAAUAUUACAGUUUAACAGAUUUUCUACCUGCGAAUGUAAUAAUUAUAUAAUAUGAUCAAGGAUUAAUUGUGAUUAGUGAAAAAAUAAUUAACUCGAGUUAAUAUAGCAAAAUCAUCGUUAACUGUUCACAAGCAAUAAGUUUAGCUCGCCUGAGUACGAAACUCGGCGACUACUCCAUCCAAGAUAAUUCAAACAGCUUUCAUUGCACAAGCACUUGCGCAAAACGGUGGUGAGGACGACGAAAGACACUAUCACUGCUGUAGACAAAGUAGAUCGCCGUGAUCAUGGCAUCGUCACCUUUGCGGGCACCGGUGGCGACUGGUCAACAGCAAUCGAGAUUGAUAGACAUGCAAAAAAAGUUCCAGCAGAAGCAUUUGGCAACUGUGGCAGCUGUCAAAGGCACAGUCGCUGGGUCUACGGCGUCUUCAAAUACCUCAUCGACCAAGACCACCGGAAGCGGUGAUAUUCCGGUGCCACCUGUUCGGCGGAUCAUCGGUACCAUCACCCCCGAACAAAAACAGCCACAGCAGCGCAGGCCAGUAGGAUCCGGAAGUGGUGGCGAUUCUAUCGUACAAGUCGACGUAAAGGGAAAGGUACGGCAGCUGUUUGCCGAGCGGAGCCAACAGCAGCAGGGGCCUGGCUACCAGCACCACCAGCAACAGCGACGGCAGCGGCGGCGGAGCCUCACGGGCCGCGACCGGUCACGGCCCCUGAGACCGCUGUCCGAUGUGAACGACGAUCCGCUGUGCAAGACGGUCUGCUUUACCGCUGGAGGUGGCGCCGACUUGGUGGGCAUCAGCGCCGCGGANGGUGGUGACGUGCGCAGCGAACUUCUCGCGCUGUUCGGGCGGUUGCCCAACCUGGGUGGACAGCUGCUAUCAGAAUCGUUCCGCAAAGGAGCCGGCAAAAUGAAGACUGCCCAGUCGGCGCCCGAGCUCAAGUGGUUACUGGACGGCGCCACCGGACCAGGCAGGGCGGUCGGGGCACACCGGUCGCAACAGCCACCCGCGUCCGAACCGGAUAAAGGCGGAGGUGUUCCCAAACGGCCGGCGGCAGGUGCAGGUGACGCCGGUGAUCACAGUGACGGUGAUGGUAAUGGUGACGACGACGACGGUGACUACGAUCAACGGCAACAGUUGCAGCGACCAGCGGCGCGAAUAAACAGCAAAACCGCGACGGUCGUGAAAAAACCACUGGCCACAGUCAACGGUAACGUAGGCGGCGGUNCUGGUGGCGGCGGUGGUGGCGGUGGCGGUGCUGGUGUGGGCCGCGUUCCUAAAAAGCCGAUGGCCACGUUCAAUGACUCAAACAGGUUAUUAUUGCCACCAGUCGUGCAGCCUACGGUGAUCAAUGCGUUGGCGGCUGGCGCUGGUGCGGCCGCGGCGGUGGCCAGCGUGAACGCAUCUACGGUGGCUGGUAUCCAGAAACCUUUGGUCAGGGCGACAAAGCUACAACCAAAGCCUACCGAAGCGAGGCGCGUCUCACCACUGCCAGCCAAGGCCGCUACCCGGGCACCGGUCGUUAAAAGCACCACGCCGACCACGGGAUCACCACGACCACAAUCUCUGAAACAGCAACUGUCCGCGGACAGGGGCCCACCAGCCAAGGGCAUGGCACGCUGCCCACUGUGCGCCAGGGACUUUGCGGCCGACCGGCUGCCCAAGCACGAACAGGUGUGCCGGCGCACGCGUGAACGAGACCGCAAACGUAAGGUGUUCGACACAAGCAAAAAGCGGCUGGAAGCUGUGGCCGCCGAGGCCGGAGUGGAUGUUACGUCGUUCAAGAAAAAGAGCCAAAAGGAGGACCAGCGGGUCGCUGAGAAGCUACAGAAGAAAAAGGACGCUUGGCGUAGGAAGCAUGACCAGCUGUUACGCAACGUGCGGGCGGCUAGGGCUGUGCAGCGGCACCUGGCUGCGGGUGGCACGGUGAAGGACUUGCCACCGGAGCUAGACAACGUGACGGCGGACCAGGAUGACGANGUCGACUCGGACUUGGUCAAGUGCCCGCAUUGUGGCCGGACGUUCAAUGAGGCAUCCGCGGAGAGGCAUAUUCCUCUGUGCGCGGAUCGACAGCGGAACGCGGCCGCCCGAAUGCAGAACAACAAGAAACGGUGAAUCUCGCCGUUUCACAAUCACCGCCACUUCAACACCAACACAUCUACUUAACGACAAUAUUAUUGACAAGAGAGGCAUUGAUGAACUCUUUCAGUACCUAUAUUGCCUUUGNCACCGUGAUCAUUCCGUCCAGCUUGAAUCUACCCAUAGUCUAUAGACUCAAUAGUAUUGAUUAGCUGUGCAAUGACUAUGAGUUAAAAUAAUAUACCGAGUCUAAGUGUACCGCAAACUGUGAGAUUUUAAUAACAUUAAAAUGCAUGAUAUAAACUCAUUGGAAAAUUGUCUUCGUGAUAGACCCUGUACAUUGUAUUGUAUUACCUACCAUAGUAGUAUUUAAUAAUUAUGUAUAAUAUGUAUUAU
rnacentral:misc_RNA from 1 species